AUUGAACGCUGGCGGCAGGCUUAACACAUGCAAGUCGAGCGGAGAUGAGGUGCUUGCACCUUAUCUUAGCGGCGGACGGGUGAGUAAUGCUUAGGAAUCUGCCUAUUAGUGGGGGACAACAUUCCGAAAGGAAUGCUAAUACCGCAUACGUCCUACGGGAGAAAGCAGGGGAUCUUCGGACCUUGCGCUAAUAGAUGAGCCUAAGUCGGAUUAGCUAGUUGGUGGGGUAAAGGCCUACCAAGGCGACGAUCUGUAGCGGGUCUGAGAGGAUGAUCCGCCACACUGGGACUAGGGCACGGCCCAGACUCCUACGGGAGGCAGCAGUGGGGAAUAUUGGACAAUGGGGGAAACCCUGAUCCAGCCAUGCCGCGUGUGUGAAGAAGGCCUUAUGGUUGUAAAGCACUUUAAGCGAGGAGGAGGCUACUGAGACUAAUACUCUUGGAUAGUGGACGUUACUCGCAGAAUAAGCACCGGCUAACUCUGUGCCAGCCGCCGCCGUAA
rnacentral:rRNA from 1 species